rnacentral:ncRNA from 1 species
AUAACAAGCUGAUCUUUCCCAAGAGCUCACAUCGACCGGAAGGUCUGACACCUCGACGCCAGCUGUUCACCACCUGAGACUGUAAUAUGCUCCAAAACAUUUGGAUGUUCGCACAUUAAAGUAAUAGAUGAGCUGGGUUCACUAUGUAUAUUG